UCCACCACUCCCUCGUCGUCAUGUUAGUGGAAAUUCAAAAUCAAGUACAAAAGUAAAAACAAAAACAGAAAAUUGUGAGAAACUUAAAACAUGAAUAUCGGCUGUUUUUGUCGGUUUAUUCCAUCAAACUACAGGUGUACUUUCAUCGCCACCUGUUUUUGCCAGAGGUCGGCACAAUCCGACCAUCACCUAUUGCGAUCGCUGGCUGGCGGUCAAUGAGGCUGGCCAAACAGGAGAGCUCUACGGGACAUGCAAAGUGACAACCAAAAGAUGGGGCUGAUAUUGAGGGAUAAAAUUUGUUACUAUGCCGGUCGUGGUAUGAAAGCAAGUAUGAAAUAAACAAAAUUGUUCCUUAAUAAA